rnacentral:rRNA from 1 species
UUCUGGCUCAGGAUGAACGCUGGCGGCGUGCUUAACACAUGCAAGUCGAACGAAGCACUGAAGAAUGGAGAUUCGUCAAAGUCUCUUGACUGAGUGGCGAACGGGUGAGUAAUGCGUGAGCAACCUGCCCUUCAGAGGGGGACAACAGUUGGAAACGACUGCUAAUACCGCAUGACGUGUUCGGGAGGCAUCUCUUGGAUACCAAAGGAGAAAUCCGCUGAAGGAUGGGCUCACGUCUGAUUAGCUAGUUGGCGGGGCAACGGCCCACCAAGGCGACGAUCAGUAGCCGGACUGAGAGGUUGAACGGCCACAUUGGGACUGAGAUACGGCCCAGACUCCUACGGGAGGCAGCAGUGGGGAAUAUUGGGCAAUGGGCGAAAGCCCUGACCCAGCAACGCCGCGUGAAGGAAGAAGGUCUUCGGAUUGUAAACUUCUUUUAUGAGGGACGAAGGACGUGACGGUACCUCAUGAAUAAGCCACGGCUAACUACGUGCCAGCAGCCGC